rnacentral:rRNA from 1 species
AUACGGAGGGUGCAAGCGUUAUCCGGAAUCAUUGGGUUUAAAGGGUCCGUAGGCGGGCUAAUAAGUCAGGGGUGAAAUCCCACAGCUUAACUGUGGAACUGCCCUUGAUACUGUUGGUCUUGAGUUACAGUGAAGUGGUUAGAAUGUGUGGUGUAGCGGUGAAAUGCAUAGAGAUUACACAGAAUACCGAUUGCGAAGGCAGAUCACUAACUGUAUACUGACGCUAAUGGACGAAAGCGUGGGGAGCGAACAGGAUUAGAAACCCCAGUAGUCC